AAGGAAGCAGUUCCAGAUACUUGUGGAGAACAAGUUUUAUGAAUGGUUGAUUAAUACAGGACAUCGCCAACAGCUGGACACCCUUGUACCCCCUGCAGCAGGUUCCAAACAAGCAGCAGGAUAGGGCUCCUGUAUCAAAACACUGCGCUCUGGAAACAUGAGGACAAAUGGAGGACGGUGCCCAUCUUGAAACUUACAUUGGGAAGACGCUCUUACUGCUUAAGAGACUGUGGGACUUUUUCUUCCUAUUGAAGACCUUUCCUUGAUUUUCAUUCUGUUCUCAGUUAUUACUGUUUAGGGUGAAUUUUAGCUAAACUUCUGAUUUACAUAUAAACAUACUGUUUGUAGAACAUCAGACCAUCUUUGUGAUGCCAAAAUGAAAAAGUUGAUGAAGGCCGUCCCAUUGUAUACGUGUUAAAAUUAAAGUGAUUGAGUGUAGAUUUGCAAAUAUAUUUCAUAUUUUAAUUUGUAUCAUGAAAGGGUUUCAUCCUUUCUAGAGUUAAGUAAGAGUUUUAUAGUUCUUUGUAACUAUUUAAAAAGAAAUUACUACUUAUUUUAAAAAAUAAUAGAAUGAAAGUAUGAUUUGUUGGUGUAUAAAUAUAGCAGAAAUAGUUUUAUAUAAAGAUAUUUUAGUCCUUAAAAUACAAAACUUGAUGAAAUUGUGUAAAUAUCUUUGUUUUUCACUUUCUGCUUUAAAUUUUCAGUAAACAAACUCUAAAAAGUAAUUUUCUCCUUUUGGUAAAAGGAUAAAGCUUUACUUUUAAUUUUGGAAAACGUUUCCAAUGUCAUCCUGUGACAUCAUAUCAAAAUAAAGUUUACGUUUGAUUGGGAAAGCCCUGUUCUUUCAAGUAAAGAAAAACAGUGAUCAAGUUAGUGAAAUGAAACUGAUCACUGAUAAACAUUGUUUCAUAUGCUCAUUGGCCAUUUAAUUAGUAAUUAUAUCAAAAAACAGCCUGCUCUUAUAUUUGUAAAGUGAAAAUUAACCCUCAGAAUGUUUGUUAAUUCUAACUGAAGUUUUUAUGGUUUUUAUUUUAAGAGUAAGUUCAAGCAAACAGAGCAUUACCAAAUAAAGAAACACUGGAGUAACAGAA